UUUGGGGUCGACAAAAAGUCA
rnacentral:siRNA from 1 species